UUCGUGCCAGCANCCGCGUUAAUACGAAGGGGGCUAGCGUUGUUUCGGAAUCACUGGGCGUAAAGGGCGCGUAGGCGGCUUUGUAAGUCGGGGGUGAAAGCCUGUGGNUCAACCACAGAAUUNCUUUCGAUACUGCAUGGCUUGAGACCGGAAGAGGUUAGUGGAACUGCGAGUGUAGAGGUGAAAUUCGUAGAUAUUCGCAAGAACACCAGUGGCGAAGGCGGCUGACUGNUCCGGUUCUGACGCUGAGGCGCGAAAGCGUGGGGAGCAAACAGGAUUAGAUACCCUGGUANUCCACGCCGUAAACGAUGAAUGCCANCCGUUGGCGAGCUUGCUCGUCAGUAGCGCAGCUAACGCUUUAAGCAUUCCGC
rnacentral:rRNA from 1 species